UGCCCGGUGGUGCAAUAGGUAGCACAUCUGCCUCUGGAGCAGAAACUUCCUGGUUCGAAUCCAGGCCGGGCAA
rnacentral:tRNA from 1 species